rnacentral:rRNA from 1 species
UACAGAGGGUGCUAGCGUUGUUCGGAAUCAUUGGGCGUAAAGAGCGCGCAGGCGGUCGGAUUAGUCGCGUGUGAAAGCCCCCGGCUCAACUGGGGAGGGUCACGCGAUACUGUUCGACUCGAAGGCAGGAGAGGGAAGUGGAAUUCCCGGUGUAGUGGUGAAAUGCGUAGAUAUCGGGAGGAACACCAGUGGCGAAGGCGACUUCCUGGCCUGUUCUUGACGCUGAGGCGCGAAAGCUAGGGUAGCAAACGGG